UAUCUUAUUAUCUGGAGUGCCACCGUUUUGGGCAGAAACUGAAAUAGGCAUCUUCCGGCAGAUAUUACAAGGAAAAAUAGAUUUUGAGUCUGAACCAUGGCCUAGCAUUUCAGAAAGUGCCAAGGAUCUCAUAAGAAAAAUGCUUGACCGGAAUCCUAGGAGAAGGCCAUCAGCUCAUGAAGUGUUAUGCCAUCCAUGGAUUGUAGAUGACAGAAUUGCCCCAGAUAAGCCCCUUGAUUCUGCUGUUUUAUCCCGCCUGAAGCAAUUCUCUGCAAUGAACAAACUUAAGAAGAUGGCUUUGCGAGUCAUAGCAGAGAGGCUUUCAGAAGAAGAGAUUGGCGGUUUGAAAGAGCUCUUCAAAAUGAUAGAUACAGACAACAGUGGAACAAUAACUUUUGAUGAGUUGAAGGAAGGCUUAAAGCGAGUAGGCUCUGAACUUAUGGAGUGUGAGAUAAAGGAUUUGAUGGAUGCAGUAAGAGCAAUUAUUUCCAUCCUAUGGUUAUCAGCUUUAGAUUCCAUUUUGCCUUCCUCAUUUUGUCAUUUUAAGCUUAAUAGGAAACAAGUAUCUUGUGUGUUUUGCAGGCUGAUAUUGACAACAGUGGUACAAUUGACUAUGGUGAAUUUCUUGCUGCCACUGUACACUUGAAUAAGUUGGAAAGAGAGGAGAAUUUGGUGUCAGCUUUCUCGUUCUUUGACAAAGAUGCUAGUGGUUAUAUAACCAUCGAUGAGCUUCAACAAGCCUGCAAAGAGUUUGGCUUAAGUGAGCUCCACCUUGAUGAAAUGAUAAAAGAAAUCGAUCAAGAUAAUGCAAGUCCAUUCUCCUUUUCUUUUUACAGUUCAUUUAUUUUUUUUCCUCACAAGCGAACUUCAAAGAACUUAAAAUUUUUUGCCAACAAAUCAUUCAGAAGGGCAUCUUAUCUUGUCGUACAAAAUGAGACAGCUUUUGUAUACGAGGCUUGUUGAUUCGACUGACAAAUUGUUUCUUCAGAAAACUUGAUACAGUAUCACUUCUCUUACGAUCAUGUGGAACUUGCUUAUGGGGCCUAUUAAUGGGUGUGAGAGAGUACACCUCUCCCCUCCCUUUUCUUGAUGUUGUGAUAAAAAAAGCCUUUUAUGGUUCUAUGUUUCCAAAUGAUCAUCUGCUUAUGAAAAUUUUGUGUUGCAGGAUGGACAAAUAGAUUAUGGGGAAUUUGCUGCAAUGAUGAGGAAGGGCAAUGGAGGAAUUGGUAGGAGAACCAUGAGAAGAACAAUCAACUUGGGAGAUGCUUUAGGAUUGACAACCAAUGGUUCUAAGGAAUUUGAUUGAUGCUCACAUCAACUCUGCUAACUAUAUAGACUUCUAUCAAUAUUCAGAAACCAUCAGCUAAUUUUUAAUCUUUAUGAGUGGCCUAGCCAAAUUUUGCAUUUCUUUUUGUCUUUUCUCUAACUAGAUAUGCAUGUAUAUCGCCAUCCAAUUCAUUUCAUGAUGCUUCGAUUAGGCGUGAAAAAGGGUUUCUUGAAUGGCGGCGUAUCUUGGUGCUGUCAAUAAUUUCAGGGUCCUGUUCGAUCAAUAGAAGCAUCAAUCACUAUUUUUGCCAUUCUUCUGACCCUUAAAUCAAAGCAAUUGUGGGAAUGUGUUAUACUGAAUGCAGUUACGUUUUAAUUGCAAUGAAAAUGGG
rnacentral:misc_RNA from 1 species